rnacentral:tRNA from 1 species
GCCUUCUUAAUGCAAUGGGCAGCAUGUCAGUCUCAUAAGCUGAAGGUUCCAAGUUCAAUCCUCGAAAGAAGGUA